GUGCUUGCUUUGGCAGCACAUAUACUAAAAAAAAUUGGAACAAUACAGAGAAGAUUAGCAGGGCCCCUGAGCAAGGAUGACAUGCAAAUUCGUGAAUUGUUCCAUAUUUUA
rnacentral:snRNA from 1 species